GCUUUCAUAAUUUAUCAAAAAUAAUGGUCUUGUAAAUCAUAAAAGGGUCUCUUUUACCCUGAAAGCA
rnacentral:tRNA from 1 species